rnacentral:rRNA from 1 species
GGAAUUUUUCGCAAUGGGCGAAAGCCUGACGAAGCAACGCCGCGUGGAGGACGAAGGCCCUAGCGGUCGUAAACUCCUGUCUAGUGGGACGAACGUAUUACGGGUGAAUAAUCCGUGAUAUUGACUGUACCGCUGGAGGAAGCUCCGGCCAACUCCUUGCCAGCAGCCGCGGUAAUACGGAGGGAGCAAGCGUUACUCGGAAUUAUUGGGCGUAAAGGGCGCGUAGGCGAUUCGAAAAGUCAACUGUGAAAGCCCAGGGCCUAACCCUGGAAGUGCUGCUGAUACUGUUGAAUUUGAGUUCCGGAGAGGAAGGCAGAAUUCCCGGUGUAGCGGUGAAAUGCGUAGAUAUCGGGAGGAAUACCAGCGGCGAAGGCGGCCUUCUGGACGGAUACUGACGCUGAGGCGCGAAAGCCAGGGGAGCAAA